rnacentral:lncRNA from 10 species
AUGUGUGUGUGUGCACAGGCGCCUGCAUGGCUCAGCCUUGGCCCCUGGCUCUCUGGCCUCUGCAGGCUCUCCCACGGAGCACCCUCUGCUGACUCUGCAGCCCCGCAGGCCUUCCUCGAACAGUCCAUGACAGGAAGCCAGGCUUCCUGGGGUCCUGAGUCAGCAGAGCAGGAAGGAAACAAAGACCUCAGAACCGCAGAAGAGAAAGAAGGCAGCCUGAAGACAGAAGGCGGCCCUCUGAAGACAGGUCCUACUGCAACUCGAAUGAUACUUAGACUCCACAAGACCAACUUCCUAUUUCUACAUCAGCGAAGGUUCGGAGUGGAGCUUUUCAUUCAACAAAGACCUCGGGAAGCACAGAGUUCGGUGACGAAUUCUCACAUGGUACCUCUUCAGUAGAAAAAUUCACUAAGGUUUCUGACACUUUCUACCUAUGGGCCAGUUACACACAGAAGAGAAAACUGGAACUGAAAACUGAUUUGUCAUUUUUACAAAAAGUCACUGCAAAGAAGGCGAAUUCCAAGUACUAAUGACUUAAGUACAUAAUUCUCUUGUGCCAUUUCUGAUGCUAUAGGGUUAAUCCAGUAUGAAGAAAGUGACAAAGGGCAGGAUUUAUUUUUACGGAUUUCACAUUAUAACCAAGUACUUGGCAACCUGCCCUCUCAUACGUUGUGAAACAAAAAUGUUGCUUUCAGUGUGUUUUUAAUAGGCCAAGCAGUUUGUUUGAUCACAAUGCUCGGGUCUACACUCAGAGACACCAGAACAUUCUUAUUGCGUUUUCACUGCUUUGCUUAACAUCUUGGUCUCCUGUCUGUGCUCUAAAGAACCAUUUGAGGACUCAGGGGAGUCAUGUCCUGGGAGUGACUACAGGUCCUAGGCCGCAGCCCCUACUGUCUCAGCCUAAACCACUCAAAGGCACUCAGAUCCAGAUUUGCAAAAUAUUUUGCAAAACUUGCAAAAACCCCACCAGGUUUAGAUUUUGAAAUUAUUGGCACAGGCAAGUGUCUACAAUCGUGAAAUUCUCAUGAGUAGGGUGGAACAGAUUUCUGUAAACAAAGCAAACUCCAGUCUCUCCAGCCUGCUGUAGAAAUAUUUAUACCCGGCCGGGUGCAGUGGCUCACGCCUGUGAUCUCAGCACUUUGGGAGACCGAGGCGGGUGGAUCACCUGAGGUUAGGCGUUCGAGACCAGUCUGGCCAACAUGGUGAAACCCCAUCUCUACCAAAAAUACAAAAAUCGGCCAGGCGCGGUGGCUCACACCUGUAAUCCCAGCACUUUGGGAGGCCAAGGUAGGUGGAUCACCUGAGGUCACGAGUUUGAGACCAGCCUGGCCAACAUGGCGAAAACCUACUAAACCUCUACUGAAAAUACAAAAUUAGCUGAGCAUGGUGACAGAUGCUUGUAAUUCCAGCUACUCGGGAGGCUGAGGCAGGAGAAUUGCUUGAACCCAAUAGACAGAGGUUGCAGUGAGCCACUGAAACUCCAGCCUGACCAACAUGGAGAAACCCCAUCUCUACUAAAACUACAAAAUUAGGCAGACGUGGUGGCAUAUGCCUGUAAUCCCAGCUACUCAGGAGGCUGAGGCAAGAAAAUCGGUUGAACCGGGGAGGCGGAGGUUGCAGUGAGCCGAGGUCGCACCAUUGCACUCCUGCCUGGGCAACAAGAGUGAAACUCUGUCUCAAAAAAAUAAAAGUACCAAAAUUAUUUGGAUGUGGUAGUAUGCACCUGUAUGUAAUCCCAGCUACUUGGGAGACUGAGGCAUGAGAGUAGCUUGAACCCAGGAAGCAGAGGUUGCAGUGAGCCAAGAUUGCACCACUGCACUCCAGCCUGGGCGACAAAGCAAGGCUCUGUCUCAAAAAAAAAAAAUGUAAAGUAAAAGAAAUAUUUAUACCCAAAGAAAAGGGUCCCUUCCAACUCAAGGAUGCUUUAAUGUAAACUUUUUUUUUUAACUAUAAAUGAAGUGCUUUGAGCAAACCUCAGAACCUUCAGGUGCAUGUUUUACCCUAACUCAUCUCUUUGCCCCAUAGGCUUGACCAAAAGGUAAAAAUAUCCUUUAUGAUUCUCUGCACAAGAAGGGAGCCAAGUAUUUAUUGGAUGCAAGACAGUUUGUUUAAGGAGCCUAAAAAAGCAAAGAUAUUAUAGCCGUGAAAAAGAACAAGAUCAUGACCUUUGCAGGGACAUGGAUGGAACUGGAGGCCAUUAUCCUUAGCAAACUUACAUAGGAACAGAAAACCAAGUACCGCAUGUUCUCACUUAUAAGUGGGAGCUACAUGAUGAGAACACACAGACACAUAGAGGGGAACAGCACACACUGGGGACUUUUGAGGGGUGGAGGGUGGGAGGAAGGAGAGGAUCAGGAAAAAUAACUAAUGAGUAGUAGGCUUAAUACUUGGGUAACAAAAUAAUAUGUACAACAAAACCCCAUGACACAAGUUUACCUAGUAACAAACCUGCACUUGUACCCCAGAACUUAAAAGUUAGAAAAAAAAAGAAAAAUCUAUUGACUCAAAAGCCUGGUAAGCACCUGUCACUGUUUUCACCAAACCUCAUCAGAGCCACAACAAUAGACCUUCCAUAGUCUUGACCAAAGGUAAAGAUUAGCCUCACAAGAAGGGAGCCAACUGUUUAUGGCAUGUAAGGCAGUUUUUUAAAGAACUCCUUUAAAAAAAAAAUCUGUUGACUCAAAAGCCUCGUGACCAGUUUUCACAGUAUUCGCCAGACCUUGUCAGAGCCACAGUAAACCUUCCCAUAAUAGCUUCGGUGUCUCAGAAGACAGCAGCAAAGCUGUGGGUUGAUUUAUCAGUCGUUAUUAACAUUCGUAUCUGCACACAGUUGGAUUUCUUUUAAAUGCAGCCUAAUUUUUUUUUUCUGGCCGUUGUACCAUGUUUGCUCACCUCAUUUAGUUAUCUAAAGGCUUUAUGUGAAGUCGGGAGAGUUUCCAACACUACAAAUGAUGAUUGGAAGUGGAUGAUGGUUCUUUACACCAAAUAAAACUAUCCUCACCGGAAUUCUUACAAAGUAAGAGGCCACAGUUCCAGGGACCAAAGAGCCAGCAUCAAGCAGAGCAGAGCAGGGCUGCAACUGAGCCUCCUGUUAUUCCCAGUCUGUCCCUCACUGGAUCCUCUCUUUCUUUCUGGCUUUUUUUUUUUUUUUUUUUGGCUCCUUCUAACUUCUUUUUGUUUCCUAAUCUUUUUGUGUUUUUGAGACAGAGUGUCCCUCUGUCGCCAGGCUGCAGUGCAGUAACGUGAUCUUGGCUCACUGCAACCUCCGCCUCCCGGGUUCUUCCACAUCAGCCUCCUGAGUAGCUGGGAUUACAGGCACCUACCACCACCCCUGGCUAAUUUUUGUAUUUUUAGUAGAGAUGGGGUUUCACUAUGUUGGUCAGGCUGGUCUCGAACUCCUGACCUCAUGAUCCACCCACCUUGGCUCCCAAAGCACUAGGAUUAAAGGCAUGAGCUGCUACACCUGGGCUCCCCACUAUUAUUUUUUUUAAAUAUAUGUAGCCAGAUGUACAUUCUAACAUAUGGAAUUUAUAAAGUCAUACUGCAUAUAAAUCUAAUUUACCUAGACCUAUGCAAAAGUCAUUAGGCCUAGGGUGGGCCUUGCAGAGAGAACAGAUAAAGGGUAGGGAAUUCUACUGACUCAAAACCCUUCUGACCAGCUUUCCCGGGCUUAGCAGAUUCCCUUAGGGCCACAGAAAACAUCUUAUAAUAGCUUUAGUGUCCAGAGGCAGAAGAUACUAUAAUAUUUUGUAACUUUUUGCAUAAUUGCAAGUUCUUGCAAGAAUAGUGGAGGGAGUUCCCAUACAACUUUCACCCACAUUCCCCAAAUGUUAACAUUUUAUCACAUUUGCUUUAUCAUUCUCACUAUAUCUAUAUUUUUUUCUGAAACAUUUGAGAAUAAGUUGCAGAAACACUGCCCUUUUACCUCCACUUUUUUUUUUCCUUGAGAUAGGGUCUUGCUCUGUCGCCUAGGCUUGAGUGCAAUGGUAUGAUCAUGGCUCACUACAGCCUCAACCUCCCGGGCUCCAACAAUUUUCCCACCUCAGCCUUCCAGUAAGCUGGGAGUACAGGUGUGUGCAACCACGCCCAGAUAAGUUUUGCUUUUUGUGUGGUUUUUUUGCAUAGAAGAAGUCUCACUAUAUUGCCCUGGCUGGUCUCGAGCUCCUGAGCUCUUAAACUCCUGCCUUGACCUCCCAAAGCACUGGGAUUAUAGGCAUGAGCCACCACACCCAGCCUCUAAACACUUUGUGUGUAUUUCCUAAAAACAAGGAAUUAUGUGGGAACAUAACCACAGUAAGACAAUUAAAAUCAGAAAAUUCACCUUCAUACAAUACUAUUAGCUAACCUAGCCCGGCCUAGCCUUGACAUUUUUGAGGAGUCGGUUGUUCUGCAGAAUGUCCCUCAGUUUGGAAACAUCUGUUGCUUUUCUCAGGACUAGAUUCAGUUUGUGCAUUUGCGGCAGGAAUAUCCUGGAAGUAAUGCUGUGCUAUUCUUAGUGCAUCAUAGCAGGAGACCUAUGAUGUCAGUCUGUCCUGUUACUGGGGAUGUUAAUUUUGAUCAUUGGUUGAGAUGGUGUCCACCAGCUGUCUUCACAGCAAAGUUAAUAUUUUCUCUUUGUAAAAUAAGUAUUAUGUAGCCAGGCACAGUGGCUCAUGCCUGUAAUCCCAGCACUUUGGGAGGCCAAGGCGGGCAGAUCACCUGAGGUCAGGAGUUCGAGACCAGCUUGGCCAACAUGGUGAAACCCCAUCUGUACUAAAAAAAAUACAAAAAUUAGCCCGGCGUGGUGGCUGCUGCCUGUAAUCCCAGUGACUUAGGAGGCCGAGGUGGGAAAAUUGCUUGAACCCAGGAGGCAGAGGUUGCAGUGAGCAGAGAUCGUGCCAUUGCACUCUAGCCUGGGCAACAAGAGCAAAACUCCUCAAAAAAUAAAAUAUAAUAACUAUUAUGUGUGAAGCACUUUGAGACUGUGUAAAUAACUGUGUAAUCCUCCAACUUUCACUCAAACCUUUUAGCAUUUAUUGACGAUUCUUUUUUUAUGUUUUUCUUUUUUUUUUUUUUUGAGACCGAGUCAUGCUCUGUCGCCCAGGCUGGAGUACAAUGGCGCGAUCUCAGCUCACUGCAAGCUCC